rnacentral:tRNA from 1 species
GGGCCAGUGGCUUAGCCAGGUGGAGCGACAGGCUCUUAACUUGUUGGUCGAGGGUUCGCGUGAACUGAACUCCAGCUCACGGCCCA